UCAGUUUCUCUCUCUUUUCAUAUUCACACGCCUCUCUCAUUCUCUCUCUCACUUAUGGAUCUUUUUCACCAUUUCUUCCAUUCAUUCUUCUUUCAUUUCUGUCACCUUCUUCCAUUUUUCUUCCAAAAUCAUCAACUCCAUGUUCCCUCUAAUUCCUAUCCACAACUCAAACCUCAUAUCUAUACCAGACGAAGAAGAAGAUUUGCGGAAGACAGAGACAGAGAAGAUCAUUACGGCAGUAACUUUUUUAAUCAACUCUCUAUCUCAAAAAUCACAAUUGUAUUAAGAUUCCUCAAAUCAUAAAUUUGACCAUCAAUAGAGGUUCAUUUUCUAAUGGAAAGUUAUCAACUUCUUUCUUAUGGUGUACCUUAAGUUUGGGGGAAGAUUGCCAAUGGAGUGUUCUUAUGUUGUGGUUGUUGGACGUGUCUGCUGUCCAUCUGCUAUCUUUUUUUUUUUUUGCUGUUGUCUGGCCCCUGUUUUGCAUAGAUUGCAGUGGUUGCUGCUACAUUUUUGUUCCUUCCUGGUGUGGCAUCGGUUUGGUUUUUCGUGUAUUCCCCUUCCCUGUGCUGUGUAGUCUGAUGGUGUGGAGCUAUGGGAAUGAAAUAUGGUGCCUUUAACUAGAUUUCAACGUCAUAACUUUGCCUUUAGGUUGGGUAUUUGUUCUUGGUCGGGGUUUUGGGCGUUUUUGCUUUUGGGUAUUCAUCAUGAUUAAACAAGUAGGUUUUGAUAGUCAUUCUUUAACUUUUCAGCCAUGCCAAUUACAAAUAGAAAAGCAAAAGUGCUAACUUUAUAAGGACUUGAUUUGUUAUAAUUAUACUAGAAUGGUAGUGUCAUAUAAUUCUAUAGUUGCCCGAGUUUCAGAACAAUGGUUAUUAAUUUUCUCAAUGACCACUUUCUUUUUGUGUUAAGACAUUUGUGUUGUAUUGCGUAUGUGGAUCGAAUUCAUAGCAGGAAAUCAAGUGAGACCUGAUCACUAGAUAGCUUGGAGGAUUAUGCAAUGAUUGUUCUAUUAAUAUGUUUCUUCUCCUCACAUCUUGCUUCUAUGUAGUGAAUUUUCUUUCUUUCUGUUUUCCCUUCGAUUUGGCAUGGAAAUGAUAUGAAGGUAUCUUACUUUUUGACAUAGUGGAAGAAUGAAGUGUGUAUCAAAGUUUCUUCCCCAGUAGACCAGUGAUAUCCCAGAAUGAUAUAUAUGUGGCACAAUGCAAACUUUGCAUGAAAUUUAGAGAGAUUGAUACGCAGGAGGAGUUUGAGGAGAUCCUUCAUAAAAUCAAACAAGAGCCUUUUGAUUGUAGCA